rnacentral:rRNA from 1 species
UGUAAGAGGGGGUANNAUUCCAGNNAGCGNUGAAUGCGUAGAGAUCUGAGGAAUACNGGUGGCGNGGNGCCCUGACGAGACUGACGUUCAGGUGCGAAAGCGUGGGNNGCAACAGGAUUAGAUACCUGGUAGUCACGCGUAAACGAUGUCGACUUGGAGGUUGUGCCCUUGAGGCGUGGCUUCGGAGCUAACGCGUUAAGUCGACCGCUUGGGAGUACGGCCGCAAGGUUAAAACUCAAAUGAAUUGACGGGGGCCCGCACAAGCGGUGGAGCAUGUGGUUUAAUUCGAUGUAACGCGAAGAACCUUACUGGUCUUGACAUCCACGGAAGUUUUCAGAGAUGAGAAUGUGCCUUCGGGAACCGUGAGACAGGUGCUGCAUGGCUGUCGUCAGCUCGUGUUGUGAAAUGUUGGGUUAAGUCCCGCAACGAGCGCAACCCUUAUCCUUUGUUGCCAGCGGUCCGGCCGGGAACUCAAAGGAGACUGCCAGUGAUAAACUGGAGGAAGGUGGGGAUGACGUCAAGUCAUCAUGGCCCUUACGACCAGGGCUACACACGUGCUACAAUGGCGCAUACAAAGAGAAGCGACCUCGCGAGAGCAAGCGGACCUCAUAAAGUGCGUCGUAGUCCGGAUUGGAGUCUGCAACUCGACUCCAUGAAGUCGGAAUCGCUAGUAAUCGUGGAUCAGAAUGCCACGGUGAAUACGUUCCCGGGCCUUGUACACACCGCCCGUCACACCAUGGGAGUGGGUUGCAAAAGAAGUAGGUAGCUUAACCUUCGGGAGGGCGCUUACCACUUUGUGAUUCAUGACUGGGGUGAAGUCGUAACAAGGUAACCGUAGGGGAACCUGCGGCUGGAUCACCUCCUU